GACGAACGCUGGCGGCGUGCCUAAUACAUGCAAGUCGAGCGGACUGAUGGGAGCUUGCUCCCGUUAGUUAGCGGCGGACGGGUGAGUAACACGUGGGCAACCUACCUGUAAGACUGGGAUAACUUCGGGAAACCGGAGCUAAUACCGGAUGACAUAAAGGAACUCCUGUUCCUGUAUUGAAAGAUGGCCUUGGCUAUCACUUACCGUUGGGACCGCGGCGCAUUAGCUAGUUGGUGAGGUAACGGCUCACCAAGGCGACGAUGCGUAGCCGACCUGAGAGGGUGGUCGGCCACACUGGGUCUGAGACACGGCCCAGACUCCUACGGGAGGCAGCAGUAGGGAAUCUUCCGCAAUGGACGAAAGUCUGACGGAGCAACGCCGCGUGAGCGAUGAAGGCCUUCGGGUCGUAAAGCUCUGUUGUUAGGGAAGAAUAAGUGCUAGUUGAAUAAGCUGGCACCUUGACGGUACCUAACCAGAAAGCCACGGCUAACUACGUGCCAGCCGCCGCCGUAAGAC
rnacentral:rRNA from 1 species